rnacentral:lncRNA from 1 species
GCCGGGCAUGGUACUAUGUGCCUGUAGUCCCAGCUACUCAGGAGGUGGAGGCAGGAGGAUCACUUGAGCUCAGAAGUUUUAGGCUGCAGUGAGCCAUGAUUGCACUACUGCACUCCAGCCUGGGUGACAGUGUGAGACCCUGUCUCAAAAAAAAAAAAAAAGAGAGAGAGACAAGGAAGGUCUCACUCUGUCUAGAAUGCAGUGGCAUGAUCACAGGUCACUGAAGCCUCAAAUUUCUGAGCUCAAGAGAUCCUCCUGC